rnacentral:rRNA from 1 species
UACGGGGGGAGCAAGCGUUGUUCGGAUUUACUGGGCGUAAAGGGCGCGUAGGCGGUCAGCACAAGUCAAUUGUGAAAUCUCCGAGCUUAACUCGGAAAGGUCAACUGAUACUGUGCGACUAGAGUGCAGAAGGGGCAACUGGAAUUCUUGGUGUAGCGGUGAAAUGCGUAGAUAUCAAGAGGAACACCUGCGGCGAAGGCGGGUUGCUGGGCUGACACUGACGCUGAAGCGCGAAAGCCAGGGGAGCGAACGGG